GGGGCCGGCCACGCGCGUGUGAACUGGGCCUGGCCACUAACCCUCGGGUCUAAUUCGCCCCCAGGACCGCGCCUGGAGGACGCGCCGGGCACCAAGCGGCCUUUCUUUCCCCGCUAAGCUAACCUUUGGUACUUGGAGAGUGGUUAUCCCUGUCCUGUUCGUUUUGCUCAUGUCGAAUCGUACAGGGUCAUCCACUUUUUCAGUAUCAAGAGCGCAGACCGUAGCGUCCAUUUCUGGGCCUCGGAUCCCGCCUCUGGCACUCCCUGACCGAGUGCGCCCGGGAUGCCUCGCGGCACCUGCCACCCUGCAUGCGGCCGAGAGGUGCGGGCCGACCAGAGACACCGGUGCAGUUCCUGGGCUGCAGCCGCCCAGGCGCCCCGAGACCCCGGGUGGGUGGGUGCGGAUGACGCUCCCUCCUGGGACGUGUGGAGCGACACGGAGAUUCGACGCUCAGCCCCCUCAGGUAUGUGAGUGGAUCUUGGCACCCAGAGCUUCACCGGUCACGAGGGGGUGACCGUGGCCCUGCCCAGGAUGCUGUGCACACACCGGUGUGCUGCCCGCAUCGGGGCGCCCCACGCCUGGCGCCAGUGGAGGAGAUGUGUGCUCUCUCUGGUCCAUGCACAGCCUGCUGCCCUUGGCCAGCCUCGUCCUGGCCACGGACCUGGAGCUGCUGGUGUUCCUGUCCGUGCUGCUGUUUCAUACUUGAGGAGAAAUUAUCCUUGGUGUGUUCGCUUUAUUUGUGAUGAAUCAUACAAGGACAAUUUCUUUUUGAGUAUCAAAUCCUGCCUCGGCGGACUUCCGGGACAGUGACCGGAGCCGUCGAGAUUCGGGUGGCAGCCCUGCCCACCUCGUGGAACGGGCACGUGCCAGCGGCUUGUGUGGGGGCACCUGUGCUCUAACCCGACUCCCUCCUGGUGGGGCCCGCUUGGCAGAGGCCCUGUGCUACGCUGGUCUGGGUGACUCGGCAUUCGAGGCUCCUCAAACCCUGCGUCUUGGACGUGAAGCCAACCUGCAGGCUGGGCCCCUGAUGCCAGUCCCUGCCCCUGCCCCCACCUGAGGAUGUGACUGACCCCCUCCCCAAGCAUGUACCUACCUCAGCGUGGAGCUGACCCGCUCACACUACUGUCUGGACCACCUGAGAACUUUCUAGAAGGAUCACCGACUUCAGAGAAGACACCAACAUGCUCCGCUGGAUGAACGAGUUCUUUGGUGCUUAAAGAAUGGCUGUCCGUAGUAUGGUCUCUCUAUUCAUGGUGAUUAAUAUCGGACAACCAUUGUUUGAGCAUCCAAAUUGGCUUCAGAAGCGUUCUUCGGCACAGUGCCACCUUCAGCAAGAGAGCAAGGGCCCGCCGCCCAGCAUGCCUUUGUGGAAGACCCAUAAUCGCUAGAUCAGUGACCCGAAUCCAGCCGCUCGCGCCUCUUCCUUGAACUAACACCAGCUUUGGGGUGGAGCUACGAGCUGGGUGUUUGGGGCUGCUUGGAAGAUGUUGAUAAUCACACCGCUGUCUUUCCUUCCCUGUGAUUCAGUCUCAGCCCCACGGGACCUGGAGACAUGCAAGUCAGGCAUUCCUCUAGGCAGCUAGCUGGGGGCCCGCUCCGGGCCCUCCCUACAUCUUUGGCAUGCACUCGAGCAUGGAAGACUUCCUGAAGGAGGUGCCAGCCUCCAGGAGCACAGCCGUCCCUGCCCGCGGCCCCGAGCAGCUGCCCGUUGAAUGUCCUGUUUGUUCUUGACGGAUGUGGUGUGGCCACCCACCUCAUUUGGACCCACUUACCUUGCACAGCACAUGCUUGAGGAGUCCGGCACCUCGGUCCCCGGCACCUCUGGGGUGUGUGAGAUAGAGACAGAAUUGUGGGCAAGAGCAGUGUUUCUCAAACUUUCGAAUGCUUCUAAGAUUUUCAUCACCUAGGGAUCUUGUUAAAAGGCAGAUUCUGAUUCAGGGAGCAAGAUUCUGCAUUUUUAGCAAGUUCCCAAGUGAUGCUAAUGCUGCUGUCGGUGGACGACGGUCGACGCGUUCAGCCUGCAGACUAAGUGCGUUCGCUGCGGCGUCUCUGCCCCACCCCCUGGGGUGUCCCGGGCUCGGCGGCACUUUGCUCUGGGGAUGGGUGUCUGUGCUGGCCCCAUGGGACAUACUGCCAUGAGGUUGCUCUUCUGUAGGGUGGCGUCAGGCCCAGAGGCCUUCUCGGACUCCAGCCCCGGUGCAGCAGGCCCCAGGGUCUGCCCCUGCAACACGAGCCACGCGCUGGGGCCAGGCCACCGCCCCAGUGGGUGACCAGGCCCUCUCCCUCUGUCACCCGCUCCCAGUCAGUGCGGGUGGAGGAGCCCUUGGGGUGGCCGUCUCAUGGUCACAACCGCGUCUCGGGCUCCAUCACGUGCCAUUUUGUCAGGGGAGGCUUUGUUAUGACGGCUUUGCACACCACCCGCUGGGUCCUGCUUGUCGCCCCCUCCGAGGACCCCAAGGGCUGGGCUGUGUCGGGAGACUUUCCAGUGUGGUUCUGACCUUGGGGUUUGGACUUGGUGUCUGGGCCUCCUCGUGUGACAGUUGACGGCGCCCCUGCUUCCUUCACAGGAUGCGAGUGCCCAGCCCUGACUGACCCUUGGGAUCUGGCACAUCCUCAGGAGGAACUUCCAGAGCGGCCAGGCCCAGUGCGGGAGGCCCGUUAGCCUCUUCCUGAGAAUCAAACUCUGCACAGAGCUGUGCCCUGCGUGUCGGUGUGACCGGGGCCGUCCUGGGGUGCUGCCUGAGAGGGAGCCGGCACUGGGAAGAGCCAGGGGGGCCUCGGAGUUUUCCCAGUGAAAUUAAUGUUUUCACAUUUUGUACCCACUCACCCGCCUCCCCUCAGUGCCACUCACUUCGGAGUGGGUGUGGGAUGCGGGUCAGCUCCAGAGGUGGGCCUGUGUACGUGUCCCUCAGGGUGUCCAGGGAGGCCUGGCCAGGAGCCUGCCCGGGCUGGGCUCUCCCCCACUGAACUCUGCCCCCAGACCUUGGCGGGCAGCCCCUGGAGGCAUCGGGCACUUGGGAGAGGUUCCUGCCUCCCUGACGAUCCCUCUGGGGGUCUGUUUCGAGUCCCGUCCCACCUGGGAUGAGGCCCCUCCCCAGGCAUGUAAGUACGUGGCCCCGGCUUCUGUCCCCACAUUGACCCCGUCCCCUCACUGCAGGGGCACGUACAUGAGGUGGCCCUCCAAGCCGGGUGUCCCAUCCGCUGCCUGUCCUGGGGAGACGGGUCUGGCGCCUUUCCUCCGCCUCUCCUGAUGGGGACCCCAGCCCUCAUCUCUGCUCUCAGCGCUGCCUGGGGGCUCAGGCUGGGACUGGAACACUGGCUCAGGCCCCUCCACCCCAUUCUUGAAACCUGACCUGAGGUUCGCUGAGCGGCCUGUGGGGCCCUUUUGGGUGGACUCUUGCUGGGGCCGCCAGCGUCCCUGCGACAUCCGCGGUGCCUGUGUGGGGCUCACUUUACUGAUGGCUGAUUCCUGGCCGCUAACCCCAGACUUCUCUCCACCCUCAGGAUGCCUCCCGGAAAGGACAAGAGCGCUGGAGAAGGUGCCGGUGUCCUUGAAAAUGGCGACAGAUGUGGCGCACGGACCUCAUUCUGGCCCCAGAGCAUGGUGAGGGCCCCUUCGGGGAGGGGAGCAUGCCAGCCCCACAUCAAGUCGGGGUGGGGGAGGCAUGUGAGUGCUGAUGGGUCCCUGGCCCAGAGGCCCUCAGAGCAUGACCAGUGAAGAGGCCUCUUCUGCUGCCAGGCCUCCAGUGCCGGCUGUACCCCCUCCCAAGAACAGCUCGGUCCAGGGAUGCUGUGUGGAUGCGACUGCCUUGGUCUUCAUCUCUCAGCUCAGAGGUCCCGGGAAGACCAGGACACCUCUCUUCCUGAGAGGCUGUCGCUGUCGGUGCCAGUGCAGGGGUAGGCAAGGCUAAUCCUUGACCCUCACAUCCUGCUGCCAGCAGGAGGCAGACCUGAGCAGGUACCACCCAGGGCGGGUCACCCCGCAGUGCCUUUUUGGAGAUCACUCCACUUGGGGUCAGUUGUCACAGAGCCCGGGCCCCAACAGGGUGAAGCCAUGUGGUCCCCACACAGCAGCAUUGAGGCCUUGGCUGCAUGGCCUCGGGACCUGUUUGGUGCUGGGUGAUGCUGGGGCUGGCCGCGUGUGGCCAGUCACCUCUCAGCUGGUUCUCCAGGACAAAGCCCACCUGGACGUGUGCCCCGAGGACUCUGACGGGGAGCAGAACUGUCCUUGCUGGGCACCAGUGGUCCAUCAGAGGACGCAUCAUGACCCUUGCCCGCUGACCCUUGGUGCCUGCUGACCCAGUUCUUCUCAGGACAGACUCAGGGAGGGGCAUGUGCCCCUCAGCCCUGCUGGUGCCUGACCCGGAUGAGCCCCCCUCGUCAGGUGUCUGGCUUGGGUCUCUUUGUUCUGAGCCACUGGUGCUGAUUUUGCGAGGAGCUUCCUGGGAAGAGCUGGGGGCCCCUCCCCAAUGGGGAGGAGAGCUUGGGUUUACAGUAGGCAAUGCCCACUGUCCUCCUAACCCCUGCCCUGCUUCAUCUUUAGGGGCCAGCUGGAAGCGAGGCCGCGGGGAGACGCCUCGUGGGCGCCAGCCUUCGGUACUUGAGGAGUGGUUAUCCCUGCUGUGUUCGCUGUGUUUAUGACGAAUCAUACAGGGACAUCCAGUUUUUCAGUAUCAAAUACUGCUCUGGAGGGCUUCCCGGACAGUGCCCUGGGAGGAGGUCCUGGCUCAGCACCGCCCCCUCGGGUAUGUACACACGUCCCAGGCCACCCCUCCCCUCCGUGUCGCUGGCUACGCCCAGGACAGGGUCUGCUCUGUGCAGAGGUGCUCCCAGGGGGCCUGAGCUUCUGGAAGGGGUGUUGGUAUCUGCACAGAUGAUGACCAGUGAGAGCCCCACCCACCCCACCUGCUGCAGGUGAACCACUCCUUCCUUAUGGACACCCUGGCGAUCAUACCAGCGUGAGGGGGAGGUGGUGAAGGGUCUGAUUCCCAGCUGGACAGCCUCAUGGUGUCUGCGCUUGGGCAGUUUCUUUUCCAGGGUCAGGCCUUUCCUGGGAGGGCUUCCUGGAAGCAAUGCCCACCUCGCGGGUGACGUGGCUUGGCUCCUCCUGGUGAACCUGUGUCUGCAGUGAAUCGGAAUGGAGCACGGUCCCGCUGGCCACGGUCGUCUGGGAGGAGGUCUGGUGAGUGACAUCUGUGGCAUCCUUACUGGAAUCGCUUCCUGGGUGGUUCAUCAGGAUGGCGUGGGUGGUGGAGCAGAGGAGGGGACAGAGUGGGGCUCCCAGGAGGCAGAGUUUGGUGGACCUUCCAUAGACGCUCCCAGGGUGCCUCAGGGACAAGGAGCGCUCUGGGGUGGCCGUGGGGCUCUCCCCAGAACUCCUUCAGUUCGGUGGCUCCCAUAAGCUGUGAAGGAGGUUGGCUACGGAACCUGGGACCUGUGCAAGCUCACGGAGUGAAGCACGAGGAGCGGCCACUGCCUCGCUGCCUGCAGGACGCGGGAGCCCCACUGGAGCUCCAGAGGGGGACUGAGCCAGCACCACUCCCAGGGAGGUGAGUGGGUGGCCCCCAAAGUCCAGUGUGUUCUCCAAACACGUGUCAGCCGUCUCACUAACGCGGUGUCCAAUCUGCCCACAGGACGGUGGUUGGAGGCCACGCCUGGAGAAGUGGAAGGGGCCCCUGUCUGUCUUGUCUCUGCCUUUCUGUGGUACUUGAAGAGAAGUUGUUCGUGGUGGAUUCGCUUUACUUAUGACGAAUCAUUCAUGGACAACGCUUUUUUCAGUACCAAAAGCUGCCUCUGAGGACUUCCUGGACACAGUGGCGACCUUGUGGAUGACGUCUCAGCGCUGUUGGCCUCGUGGAGGAGACAGGAAGGGCUGGUCGGCCAGGGACACCGUGUUGACCUAGCUGUAAGUCAUUUGACCCCUAGCCUGGACAGUCCACCUUCCCCUGGGCCCUGCCCCCUGGGGGGUGGCUGUGGUUCUGUCACCAGUAUCACCCCACAAGAUACUCAAGGGGGGGCUCCCUGGGCCCACAAACAACUUCUGGAAGAGACGCUGGUGUCCCCACUGUCCAGGGUGUGUGACUGGUUGACCAGGGCCACUUAGUCACGCACCCUCAGAACCCACCUCACCCACCCAGGAAGACAUCAAGGAGGUUCUGCCAACUCUGGGUGAGCAGCAGCAGACUUCUCGUGGCUACUGCAUGGGGGACCUGGACAACCUUUAUCAGGGAAGUGUGUUUUCUUGAAAUGUGGUGCUCCCCCCCACCCUGGGUUGCUCCUUCCUCCCUAUCACUUUGAAAUAUCGCUCCUGGGACCUGACAUGGCCUUCUGGGGUGGAACCAGAAGGAGCCUAGCUCUCCCAGGGCAUGUGAUUGUUUACAUUUGUUGGGGUCACUUGGUUCUCUGACCCCCAGCAUCCUGUCUCUCCACAGAAGGACCCUACUUUGGAAGCGGCCCUGGUUCUCUGCCCAGCUGCUCCUCACAGCAGCUGAGAGGCUACCAGGAAUGGCGUCCCCUUUAGGCCAGGAAGACGAGCUGCAUCCCUGUCACCCCAUGCUUAGGGUAAGUGCGUCUCGGGUGAGCAUGCGGUCACUAUGGGAGUAUGUCACUCGGCCCACUACCCAACUUUAUCCCACCCAUUUCUUCCAGGGCUCCGGCAAGGAGCUGCCGCCUUUGCAGGGGAGGCAUGGACUUCCUGCCAGAGUUCGCUAUGGUGCUUGAAGAGAGGCUGGCCGUGAUGAAUUCGAUUCAUCAAAGCGAGUCAUACACGGCUCUCCUCUCUUUUAGUGUCAAAUUCUGCCUCGGAAGGUUUCCUGGGCCCAGACUCUUUCCGAGGUAGGUGCCCGGAUGGCUGAGCCCACAGCAAGCGCUUUCUCGAAGAAGCAUGUCACUGGCCACUAACCCCAGCUUCCACGCUGAGCCUGAGUCCACUUUCUGGGCCACUGGCGACGAGGACAAGCCGGAGAGGCUGUGAGAUGCUCUGUCUUUAAAGCCAUCAACACUGAAAUGCAUCCUCGGAGGUCAGCUCGAAACAUCUUUGAUCAGCCAGCUGCUGGAGUCAGGGAGAACAGGAGGCAGGGGGCAGACCCCGUGGCCCCCGGCUCACUAACCCGCAGCAGCCCCACCCAUCCAGGAUCCUCUUGGUGACUGCUGUGGUUCGUCUGUUCUUGUACAUGGGUGUUUCCCGAGCUCUGUGCUUCACUAACAGCGAGAACCUCGCGGCUGAUUUCUUUGCAUUACUGUCGCCUGCAUGGACAGCCUAGCACAGGAGAUGGCAUCCCUGUGCUCACAAAUCUGGGUUGGUGAACCAGGGGACAGCAGGGAGCAUGGACUUGACUUGGACACUGAGCCAGCUGGCCCCCUUCUCCUCAGUGACCCAUCCACCCUCAGAGGCCACCCCCAAGCUGCCCAGACUUCGCAACCGUGUGGAUGUGGGGAAGCCGAGAGCAGUGCCACCUCGCGGUACUUGGAGGGAGGUUGUCCGUGGUGAGUUCGCAUUCUUUAAUGAUGCCCAAUACACGGUCGAUCUCUUUUCGGUAUCACAUCUCGUCAGGCAUCUUCUUGGAGCUGAUGCUGUUUUGGCGGGAACCCACACUCUAGCUGGUUCCGGGCCCACGUACACCAAUGUGUGGUUGGUCCUUAAAUUGAAAGACAGGUGCCCAGUGCCCAUAGCCUUAUGCAGCCUGUUUGUGACAGACAUUGACAAUGAUCUGGAUUCAAGACCCCAAAUGACUAGGGAAAAGGGGGUGCUACGAAGCUCUUGCUGUUUUGUUUUGUAAAAAAGAACAUAGCUUUUCCCUUCCUCUCUCCAUUUUAAAUUGUAGAGGGAGGGAUUCUUAGGCUUGUCGGCCAGGUCAGGCAAGAGGAUCAGCACUCUUCUGGGCUAGGUGAAUGGGGGCUCACCCAAUCUGUUGAUGGGGAAGCCACACCCCUCACUGAGUGUGAGCCAGGUGGCAGUUCUUUUUCAGUUUCUUGCUGGUAGAAAAGUACCCAAAAAAUAACCAUGAAGGGCUUUAGAAAUUUCAAACUCCUGUCUGAUCAUCCAUGUAAAGAGAAGGUAAAUAGACAAAGAGAAUGUAUUUUGUAAAUAAUGAGAUCACAGUGUACCUAAUCUUUUUAUUAACAAUCUGUUAUUUAAUAUUCUAGCAUUUAUUGUUAAAUACUAUUAUUAUUCAUUGAAAAUAUUCUACAAAUAUGGGAUCAAGCUGCAUCUAAUCUUUUUUAAAAAUGUUGACUAUAAUUUUGAGCUUACCUAAAGAAGAUUGGAAGCAUUGUAAAUGCUUCUUGCUCUACCAGGAGAGAGUAACUUCUAAAAGAGCCCUAUAAAAUUAAGAAAACCACUAAAUAGUUGGAAUCUUUAUGUUUUUUUAAUUGUUCCCAUUUCAAAUCUAAUUCUGAAAUACAAAGAAAAUCAACACCCUUACACUUCAUCCCACCACCUACAUUUAUGUCUAGGUAACAUAAAAUCAUAAAUAUUUGCAUUUUGUUCUAAAAAUCACAAAUCUUGGAGUUAUUUAAUCAUCGCCCUAUGCUUAAAUGAUUCACUUUUGACUGUGAGUUUUUUUCCCCUUAAACUCAGUCUUCUCUGUUCCUGAAUUUUAAUUUGAAUUCAUCUUUGAUGAGAUGAAUUGUAUCAUUAUUUAUUUUAAAACAGCUCACAGACUCCCCUCAGUCCUUGCACAUUGAGAACAUGUAGCUCGUGCUUUUAUACACAAGGGGCAGCUUAGCUAGGUAUAAAAGUCUCGCCCUACUUUCUCCCACUAGAGCUCUGUAGACCCUGCCGCCUCACCCUCCACCCAUGUAUUUCACUAGCUUUUUUAUGUAACUUGUGUGUAUCACUCUUACCUAGCUGGACUUUGUUACCUAAUGGGUCUUCAUAUACCUUGUGGGGAAGACUUUGGGGCACUAGAUUCUGUGAGGCCAUUCAUCUCUGGAAAUGUGUGACUGUCGCUCUUUAUUCAGCUGCCUGUUUGCUUUUGUCCAUAGUGUUUUAUUUGGCCCUAUGCUUUCUGGUUCUUUUGAAUUACUUUAUUUAGUCCCUUUAAAAAUACUUACGAUAUAAUUUUUCUAAACUUUGAGGUAUGACACCUCUUUCUUGAGUCUGUUGAUUCAUGAUAGUAUUUUUCUUCCUAGAUUUGAUAACGUUCCAUGAUGACAUAAUCAUCUAUGGGAAUGAGGUGUUUCUGUUUUGUUUUGUGACCUGUGCAAAAGAGCUGUAACAUGAGGGUUCUGCAUUUUGCUUCUGCCUGGCACCCCAAGGCUUUCGCUCUUUGGUACCAGUUUUCCUACUACUUUUCACUUAUCUGUUUCUUUAUUAUUGGCUUAAGUGUGUUGUGUGAGGGCUGGUAUAAACCCUCACUACACAGCCUUGCGAGGGUUUGGCCUUAUUCUCCCCAGAGCCCAAACAGAAGCAAACCCUGUUGUCAUUACACUGGGCCAGCGCAGAGUUUUCUAGGUCCUAUUCCACGCCACUCCCUGUGGUCACAGCUGCUGUUCUUGGUGGACAUUGUGGUCACAUGGCUCCCAGUGCUCUGGGCAGUGCACAUCCCUGGGGUUGGCAUGGAUUGUACCCAGUGCUCUGAACUAAAUUCCCUCUUCUCUGGCCUCUGAGGGCUUUUCUUUCUUCAUCCUUUACACCUCUGCAUUUCUUUGCCCAUUGGUUUUGGCUAUGGUUGCAUCUUUCCUGGUAUUCUCUAUGUUUGGAGGAGGGGUCUGCUAGCUUUUACUUGAUUCUGGCUCAGUCUCUUUCUUUAUCAGUUUCUCUGAAUCAUUAUGCCUUCUUGAUUGGUAAGGCCAGCUGUUCCUUCAUGGAUAGGGUGUUUUCUCCUAUGAUUUCCAUGUGUACUUUCCUGUUCUUUGUGCUGGUCUUUUCUGGGAUUCAAUGGCAUUUGUUGUUUAUUUCAUUAUCUCCAGAUAAUGAAGAAUGGAGAAGGAAAAAUGAGAUCUGGCCAUACACCGCCAUCAUCUUCUGGAUGUCUCUGCUGUCAUUUGCACUAUUUCCUUCUCUACUUAAAGUGAGUCCUACCCUGGUGCCCCCUCCUCAGAGUCUCCUUCUGUCUUGGCAGGCUGCCUCACCAGGUGUCAGCUCCUGGGAUGAUGUGAUGUGCGCACUUUUGGCCAGGGAGACUUCUUGGAAGUUAUAUCCGCCUUUGGUGAUGAGGCCACCUUCUGAGGUCAGUACCACCCCACAGAAUAAUAGAUUUUGACUCCCCCCCUCCCCAUCAUCUUCCUUAUCAUUGGCAUUGCAAAGUCAACAGCUUGGGAAUGUACUCCAGCUUUGCAGGGCUUCCAGGACACAAGACUGGUGAGGAAGGGAUCACAGCCAUCAGCCUUGAUGCUAAUGUGACAUGAGGAAAUACCCCACAGGGACCAGAACAGUGAACUCAUGCACUUGACCUCUCCAAGCUCAGUCCCUCCUGGGAGUCCUUCUUAGAUAACAGGACCAGUGCAGCGAAGAUGUUGACGUCUGGGCUACUUCAGGGUCUAGGGCGGGGUGGCUGAACCCAGGGCCUCUGAGUCUUCACCCCUGACCCUCUGGCAGCCAGUCUGCCAACACUCAGCAUUCUCUCAUCCUAAGGAGGACAUCCUGGAGGAGGCCAGCUUUGGAGAAGAGGCAUUGGCACCUGGUCAGUGCUAAUUUGCGGUGCUUGAAGAUAGGUUAUCCGUGUUGCCUUCGCUUUAUUUGUGACGAAUCAUACACGGUUCACCUAUUUUUCAGUGCCACAUCCCACCUGGGGGGCUUGCGGGUGGGAGCUGGGCAUCAAAGCCCUGCAGGGUAAACAGGGAGACUUCGCCACAGCUGACCGCAGAGCAUGCCCCCUCCCGAUGCUGUGUGCCCCCUCCCACCCUCUGUGUGCCACCCAUCCAUGGGAAGGUUCUGGAGAAUCUGGGGGAAGAAGUGAGGCUUUUCUUACCAGAGCCACUUGGCGGUACUUGAAGAGAGGUCUUCCAUGAUGCAUUCGCUUUGUUGUUUGACGAAUCAUACAUGGUUGACCUUUUUUUAAGUGUCAAAUUUGGCCUUAAAGCACCCAAAGGCGAUGCCAGCCUCAGGGACGGGUGGGGUGCCCACAGACCUGGCAGGCGGCCAUGUGGGCGUGAGUGUGACUUCCCAUGGAUGUGUCCUCGUGUUCACUCUCCUCCGUGGCCAGUGUGUCUGGGUCUGUGCUGAGUCGCCCGCCAUGUCCCUGUGGAGGUGGCCGCUUCAUGGUAGUACCUACCCCUGCUGCUGUCCCUGCGUGUGACGGCACCUGCUUUGCUGUGGCCCAACCCUCCCCAGUGGCUUCCUGGAAGGAGGCUCAUUUCCAGCGAGGCUGGGCAGGGUCUGCACCUGCCAGCCAGCCCGGGGCAGGACCACGGAGCGUGUGCCGUCGGCAGUGUAGCUGCAGGGGCUCACACCCCGUCCCACCCGCCCUUGGGCCCGCA